rnacentral:rRNA from 1 species
UACGAAGGGGGCUAGCGUUGCUCGGAAUCACUGGGCGUAAAGCGCACGUAGGCGGCUCUUUAAGUCAGGGGUGAAAUCCUGGAGCUCAACUCCAGAACUGCCUUUGAUACUGGGGAUCUCGAGUCCGGAAGAGGUGAGUGGAACUCCGAGUGUAGAGGUGAAAUUCGUAGAUAUUCGGAAGAACACCAGUGGCGAAGGCGGCUCGCUGGUCCGGUACUGACGCUGAGGUGCGAAAGCGUGGGGAGCAAACAGG